UGUCUAGCAUUGCAAGAUUCAAUUUCAAGUCAUGUCUUCACUUAAAAAACAUGAAUCCGGUUAUCAAAAGCGUUUGAAGAAACAAAAAGCCGAGGAAUUAAUUCAAUUUCGGUAUGGAAAUAUGGACAAGUUAUUUAAGUGAAGACUUUACAACCAAGAAUAGAUAUGAUUCUAUAUAUUUUUUUCAUUAUUCUGUAAGAUAUUAUGAUCUCUACAUUAUAUUAUAGUUAUAGUUAUAUAACUCUUUUAGUGAGGUAGGGCCUAUUUUACAGUUUCGCACCGGGCCUCGAAUUUCGUCGGUCCGGCCCGGCCCUGCGAUGAGGUCGUCGACCUUGGCGUUGGAGGCGUGGAUCGCCGCGGUGUGCUCCUUCAGCGUGUUGUCGACGCGUUCCACGAGGGUCUGGAUCGCCGGAUCCAUGGCGGCUAGGUGGGCGCGGGCGUGACUCUGCGAUCUGGUUGUGAUGAAUCGAUCCAGAUCGGCGGAGCGGGGGCGGAGGAGGGAUUGUCUCUGAUACAAGAUGUAAGAGUAGGUAUAGGUAGCUCCGAUUACAUGAACUAGGUGGGGAUUCGGUUACAAUCAUCAGGAUACACAAGAGGAAUGGUUCUAGGGUUCUAUCCGCCGCCGGCCUUGAUCCUGUGGAUCCUCUGCAGUCGCGCGUCGCUGCCUUUAGUAGCUCGAGGGGAAAGGCUCACGUUGUCCACGCUGGCCCGGCGACGCGUGGGUUGGGCCGUCGGUCCCUCGUGGGUCGUUGGGCCAGAGGCGAGGCUGGUGAGCCUCUGGCUGCUGGGUCCGUGCCGUCAGCGCAGCUGCUGCUCGUGUCGGGGGCGCUGACAGAUUGGUGGCUAAACGCAGAGGCAUCAUGGACAAUCAUCUCUAAAUUAGCGCUUGGAUAAUCUUGAAAGAACUUAACAAUCGUGCUUUCAAUCACAAGUCUCCUCUCCCUCC
rnacentral:lncRNA from 1 species